GAUACUGGCAAACUAGAGUGCCGGAGAGGAAAGCGGAACCUCUUGGUGUAACGGUGGAAUGUGUAGAUAUCAAGAGGAACACCGGUGGCGAAGGCGGCUUUCUGGACGCACACUGGCGCUCAGGCGCGAAAGCGUGGGUAGCAAACAGGAUUAGAUACCCUGGUAGUCCACGCCAUAAACGAUGGGUACUAGGUGUCGGGGGUAUCGACCCCUCCGGUGCCGCAGUUAACGCACUAAGUACCCCGCCUGGGGAUUAUGGUCGCAAGGCUGAAACUCAAAGGAAUUGACGGGGCCCCGCACAAGCGGUGGAGCAUGUGGUUUAAUUCGACGCAACGCGAAGAACCUUACCUGGGCUUGACAUGCUUGGGACAGCGCUGGAAACAGCGUCUCUCCUUCGGGAGCCCUUGCACAGGUGCUGCAUGGCUGUCGUCAGCUCGUGUCGUGAGAUGUUGGGUUAAGUCCCGCAACGAGCGCAACCCUCGUUACUAGUUGCCAUCAGUUCGGCUGGGCACUCUAGUGAGACUGCCGGUGAUAAACCGGAGGAAGGUGAGGAUGAUGUCAAGUCAUCAUGGCCCUUACGCCCAGGGCUACACACGUGCUACAAUGGUCGGCACAAAGGGUCGCUAAGCCGCGAGGUGGAGCUAAUCCCAAAAAGCCGGCCUCAGUUCGGAUUGGAGUCUGCAACCCGACUCCAUGAAGGCGGAAUCGCUAGUAAUCGCGGAUCAGCAUGCCGCGGUGAAUAUGUUCACCGGGGCUUGUACACACCGCCCGUCAUAUCACCCGAGUCGGGGAUACCCGAAGUCCGUGACCCAACCAUUUGGAGGGAGCGGC
rnacentral:rRNA from 1 species